UACGUAGGAGGCAAGCGUUGUCCGGAAUCACUGGGCGUAAAGCGCGUGUAGGCGGAUCGCUAAGUCUGUGGUGAAAGCGCCUGGCUUAACCGGGCGAGGUCCAUGGAAACUAGCGGUCUGGAGGCCGGUAGAGGGGGGUGGAAUUCCGGGUGUAGUGGGUGAAAUGCGUAGAGAUCCGGAGGAACACCAGUGGCGAAGGCGGCCCCCUGGGCCGCGCCUGACGCUGAGACGCGAAAGCGUGGGGAGCAAACAGG
rnacentral:rRNA from 1 species